GGCGGUGUGGUGUAGUGGUCAGCACGUGACAUUCUCAGUGUUGAGACCGGGGUUCGAUUCCCCGCAUCGCUA
rnacentral:tRNA from 1 species